rnacentral:misc_RNA from 1 species
AAGUCGUAACAAGGUUUCCGUAGGUGAACCUGCGGAAGGAUCGUUAACAAAUUUUCCCAACCACCCAACCACGUAUGUGAACUGUUAUCAAAGCCCGUGGAGUGCGUUUCGCGUGCUUGUGAGGAGUGGCCCAGGCAUUAGUGCCUGGACACUCUGGCGCAGUGAUCCUCACUGCGCCCAGCAUGUUGGAAGAGCUCCACAUUUAUUUACCUACCAGACUACUCUUAAGACUGAGACUUUAUGAUAAAAAAUAAAGACAACUUUUAGCAACGGAUCUCUAGGCUCUC